rnacentral:rRNA from 1 species
GUAGGCUUUGCCUGCUAUCUCUUACCCAUGUCUUUUGAGUACCUUCGUUUCCUCGGCGGGUCCGCCCGCCGAUUGGACAAUUUAAACCAUUUGCAGUUGCAAUCAGCGUCUGAAAAAACUUAAUAGUUACAACUUUCAACAACGGAUCUCUUGGUUCUGGCAUCGAUGAAGAACGCAGCGAAAUGCGAUAAGUAGUGUGAAUUGCAGAAUUCAGUGAAUCAUCGAAUCUUUGAACGCACAUUGCGCCCCUUGGUAUUCCAUGGGGCAUGCCUGUUCGAGCGUCAUUUGUACCUUCAAGCUCUGCUUGGUGUUGGGUGUUUGUCUCGCCUCUGCGCGCAGACUCGCCUCAAAACAAUUGGCAGCCGGCGUAUUGAUUUCGGAGCGCAGUACAUCUCGCGCUUUGCACUCAUAACGACGACGUCCAAAAGUACAUUUUUACACUCUUGACCUCGGAUCAGGUAGGGAUACCCGCUGAACUUAAGCAUAUCAAUAAGCGGAGGA